rnacentral:lncRNA from 1 species
GUUCAAAUGAUUUUUAUAGUUUGUUCUUAUGUUGUACUGGAACACCACUUUACCAGGUUAGGAGAGAGUUAGCGCCUUCAAACUAUCUUAACCCCGCUACAUAAUGUACAUGCAUGUGCCUGUCCCAAGUCGUGGGCCUGUAAGUCAUUGGUUGUCUUUUGUUGCUGUAUAUAAUUUCAUUUUCGUUUUUAUUUAUUUUGUUCAUACAUCGGGCCUUGAGUUUUCUCGUUUGAAUUGUUUUACAUUUGUCAAUUUGGGAUUUUGUAUAGCUGACUAUGCGGUAUAGGGUUUGCUGAUGUUCCUCGUGUUCAUAUCCGUACGGUGACCUAUAGUUGUUAAUUUCUGUAUCACUGGCCUCUUGUGGCGAGUUGUCUCAUUUCCAUGCAUACCUUAUUUGUA